rnacentral:rRNA from 1 species
GACGUAGGGAGCGAGCGUUGUCCGGAUUCAUUGGGCGUAAAGCGCGCGUAGGCGGCCUCGCAAGUCGGUUGUGAAAUCCCGGGGCUCAACCCCGGGACUGCGUCCGAUACUGCGAGGCUGGAGGUAGGUAGGGGAGAUCGGAAUUCCUGGUGUAGCGGUGAAAUGCGCAGAUAUCAGGAGGAACACCCGUGGCGAAGGCGGCUCUCUGGGACGGUACUGACGCUGAGACGCGAAAGCGUGGGGAGCGAACAGG